AUUUCUGACAAACGUUAUAACAUGUGAACUGACAUGACCAAUCUGCGUGAUGGGUGUUUCAAAAUGCCUGAUGAUAUUAUUAUAACAUGCUUUAUUGGGGUUAAAAUACCGACACGCUUCUUUGAUUAUGUUUCCAUGUAAAAUAACAUGAUGCACAUAGCUACUAGACUGUUUCAUUUUAUAAUCGAAAAUUCAGUUAAAUGUAUGUUAACCUACAUCGAAAUAUGGAAUGUCAUAAACGAGGAUUUGCAGAAAAAAUCUUGAGCAGAGAUAAUUAAUAUUCAGUUCUUUGAUUCAUGAAUAUCAUUGUAUCGACUAUCAUCCGGCUGCAGACUGUUCGUUGUGCAUCAUAUAAAUAUCUCAAAUAGCCAAGUUAAUAAAUUAUCAGAUGUUUUAAUAAUGAAAUAAUUUAUAGAUAAAUCCAUCGCCUUUUUAGGAAUACUCCCUCCGAAUGUUCACGAGCUUUCUCCGCGCCUGUGUAAACUAUUUUUAGGCGAAGGACGUCGUUGCAAACUAUUAAAUGCAUCGAUAUCAGCUGUCAGAGUCGUAAGUUUGAAAUCACCAGACACACAGAAGCAGCAGGUCCAACCGCAAUAAGAAAAGACAAACAUAUUUGCAAGUGAUGUUUCAUCUUAUAAAGCUACACUUUCACAUGAUUCAUUGACAACUGCUCGACUACCCUCUGAUAGUGCACAUGCAAGGCUUGAAAUGGAUGGUAACCAAAAAGGUGAAGACCAAAUAUUAGACACUCAGCAAAAAAAAGAGAAUAGCGACAAGUAUUGCAGCUAUUUUCAAUUAUGUGGACCUUGUAACUUGAUUAAAAAAAACAAGACGUGCGACCUACAUCUGCAAGCUGUGUGAUGACAAAUUUCUUUGCGAUGAAUGUAGUACACAACACAGAGCACAACAAUUUACAUAAGGUCAUGCGUUUUCGACCGUUCGACUCACGAGAUGGCACAACUAAAACCCACUAUUGUGUGAACCUAAAUCUGUUCCAACAGUCACAGAAGCUGCAGGAUUGGACCCAACCGAUUCGAAAAAACCUGGUAGGCCGACAGCUACUGAAAUCAAGAGUAAUAAAGUCCAUCUGAGCUGGACACAGCCAAUACAGUUUGGAGAAAAGGAUUACUUUCAAGUCAGUUUAAAAGAAAACAUACCUGACUCUAGAUGGAAAGCAUAUCGCGACUAUUUUACAAAGUGUACCGGCGUUUUGGUUAACUUAAAUACAGACACUCAAUAUGUAUUUUGAGUGCGAGUUGUUCAUGCAGAUAUGGAGGGUUCUAUUAGUGACGAAAGUGAUGUUGUUCAUACGCUUAGAUCCGCCGCAUCAGAAAUGGUCAGUCUUUCUGUUCGCAUGAGUGAAGAGAACAUUGUACCGGCUCGAUAAGCGUUACCAUUAGAGGAAAUAAAACAAGCUAGAAAUGAUAAAGCAAGAACAAGAAAAAUUUUCGUUGGGAAUGGACAAUACAGAACACCCAUUGAGAAGACUAUCAUGUUGAAACAGGAACUGGAAAAAGUACUCUAGUUGAUGGAAAGGCCAACUACGUUCUGGGAGUUGAGUGGGGCGAUCCCUUUAGAUCUCAACUUGUUCUUGAUGAAAAUGAAACAGAGAAAUCACAUAAUAAGGGAUUAUCACAUACUGAAUGGAUUACUUGCUACACAGUUCAUCCUCAGAAAGGAAGUAAAUACCCGUACACUAUCAACAUAAUUGAUACUCCAGGAUUUGGUGAUAGAAGAGGGGUAAAUAGAGACAAGAAAACUGUCGAACAUUUUCGAUAUUUAUUUUCAUCGGAUGGGCAAUAUGGAGUAAUAGACAUUGAUGUUUUUUGCCUAAUAUUCAAUGCGCAUAACUCCCGAAUUAUAGUAACGGAGAGCUAUAUAAUCCAGUCAAUACUGUCAUUGUUUGGGAUAAAUAUUGAAAACAACAUUUGUUCCCUGAUUACAUUUGCAGAUGGCAACGAUCCUCCUGUCAAUACAACGCUACAAAAAAUAGAUUAGCCGUUUGGAGAACGAUUCACGUUCAAUAACUCUAGUCUUUUUGAAAAUAACACAAAUAGAUCAACGUCUUUUUCGCCGCUUUUCUGGCAAAAAACGCAUGAGGGUUUUGAGAAUUUUUUUCAAGCAUGUAAAUACUUUGUUUAAAAAGAGUUUGCAACAAACACGUGAUGUUUUAUAUGAAAGAAAACGGAUGGAAGUAACAAUUGAAAAUCUACAGACGCAACUGUAUGGUGCCCUCGACUUAGUUAAGCAAAUUAAACAUGAAAUGGAUAUUUUUGACAAAAAUAAAUCCAUAAUAGCUGAAAAUAUUUUUUUUCAAUAUGUUGUGACGGAAGUGCGGCAGAAAAAACGCGCUCUACCUGCUGGGGUAUAUGCAAUUAACUGCACUUACUGUCACUUUACAUGCAAAAGACCGUAUGGUACAUCGAACGAUACGAAUGGCAGCGCAGCAAAAGGCUUUUGCGUUGUUUGUCCGAAAAAAUGUGCUUGGACACAACAUGUGAAUAUUCCUUACUUGUUCACCUAUAACACUGUUGAAGUUAGGAAGACGUAUGAAGAGAUGGAGAAGAAAUAUAAUGUUGCUUCGGGGGAAUAAACCUUUCACUGGAACAAAUUCUGAAACGAAUGCGUGAGGAGCUGCAAAAAAGGAUGGAAUCAAUAAACGGUAUGAUGGACAUCGUUAAAAACAGCAAUGAACGUCUGACGGACAUUGCACUUCGUCCACGCCCAACGAAUGAGGCAGAACUGAACAAGCACAUAAUCGGACACGAACAGUUUACAAAGAUAAUUGGAUAUCAAGGACGGGUUGGGGCACUGUCCACACGGCUUGGAAGGACAGGGAUCGCUGACACUGCAAAACAGCUAACCGAUGAGUUCCAAACCGUUGGAAUAAAAGAAAAUGAAAAAGAUAUAUUUCUGAAAGGCCUGCAAGGUAUAUACAAAAUAUUUGGCAUGAAUAUUCCUUAGGCUGGCAAGCAUUUUCGUUCAUUUCUAUAAUAAAUUAAACAACAAUCUAUGUUAAAACAAACGCAACAUGUUCAUGUUGCCGAAAACAAAUGUGGUGAUUAAACUUUGAUAUAAAUUGAGUAUACUUUAGUUCUGACAUGUGUAACAAAGAAAAGAAUAAUACGAAAAAAGUAAAUUUGCAAACGUGUGAUUAGUUAUACAACGACACGCAUCUGUUUAACAAAAAAAAAACGCAGUAAAUCAAUCGUGGGCUACGCACAAAAAUUACGGUCGCCAAAUAAUUUGAAAAUAGUUCGAGAAAACUUUUUUUCGUUAUUAUUAUAGCGUCCUAUAUUAAUCAUGUAGUGUUCUAUAUUAAUCACGUAGUGAAGUACAACCGUUUGUAAUUGUACAUGUUUUGAUAUGUUUAAGUUCAUAACAAAUCAUAAUAUUUUCUGACAAGCGUGUAUCAAAACAUUGUAAUAAAAUCUUUGAUACACGCUUGUCGGUAAAAUAUUAUAAAAAUUGCAGACUUUUGGUAUGGUAUGUUACUUACCUAAUUAUUGAGGUGUCCAUUAAACGCUGUUGUCUGUAUUGUUGAUUUGUAUGCUGCCUUUUGUUAUUUUUUUGAUUAAUCUAAAUUAUAUGAUAAUGAUUAACAAAGGGUUCCGAAAUCAUGAAGCUGUAUUUAAAAUAUGAUUCAGUGUAAGUAUUACAACGGUAAACGAUGUUUAUUAUCAAACAACGCUGGCUAUCGCCGCCAUAUGUUAAUUAUUAUAAAUCGGAACACCGCAAUAACUAUCGUUAAGCCGUCACACUUUCGUAAGUAAAUUCACUUAAGCAGGGUAUUUUUUUCUAGAGCAAAAAUUUCCAUUUUAAACACACUUUAUUGCGAGAAUGUUUAUUGGAGAAAACGGGCUUGUAUCUUAAAAUCUCGUUUAUGAUUAAGCUGAUUAGUCUGAUAAUACGUUGCUUACUAUUGUAAUAAACAUAAAAUAUAAAAAUCAUUUGCGGGGCUAAACGCAAUUUGUAUAGUCUUGCGAAAUGUAUGAAUUGUAUUUUUGUAAAUGUGUGAUGAGAUAUGAUAAUAUUUGUUUGAAUGGUGAACCGCGCUUUUCAUGAACGAAUGAGCUAUUAUGUUAACAAUUUAAAUAAAGAAGUCCUGAACCCAGAAAUUUGAUGGUUUCAUGUAAUUGGAAGAACGCUUAAUAAAAUUACUAAUGUA